rnacentral:lncRNA from 1 species
CAAUGGUGUAAUCUUUUUUUUUUUUUGAGACAGGGUCUAGAGUGCAGUGGCAUGAUCACGGCUCACUGCAACCUCCACCUUCUGGGUUGAAACGAUCCUUCCACCUCAGCCUCCUGAGUAGCUGGGACCACAGAUAUCAAAUCUACAAUCUCAUCUUCCAUCUUAAAGUAGAAAAAGAAGAACAAAGCCGGGUGUGGUGGCUCACACGUGUAAUCCCAGCACUUUCGGAGGCUGAGGUUUCUGAGCAAGAUGCUUGCAUGAAAGAUUCAAUCUAAGGCCAAUGCAAAAAUAUUGUGAAAGCAGCAGGAUCAGCUAGCCUUCCAGUUGGCUUCUUAAAUGCUGCAUUGAAAGGAUGAAACAGAACGGAUGUGAACAAGAGUUCCCUGAGAAAGGACAGCUCUUAGAGAGAUAGGAUAAUUACUGGACUCAAGAAGAUACCAAAUCAUGGUGUGCAUUUCUGCGUUGUGUUUGGAAGAGGAACUAGGAUUGUUAUGAAAAGGAAGGAUGUGUUCAACUUAGAAGAAUUAAACCUCAACCAUCUGUCUCUUCCAAAUGGCAUUCUUGAUUCUAAAA